rnacentral:tRNA from 1 species
UGGGGAUGUGGCUCAGUGAUAGAACACUUGCCUACCAUGCAAGAGGCCCUGGGUUUGAUCCCCAGCACCUAA